rnacentral:lncRNA from 1 species
UCCUUCUUUAUAUAUAGGGGACUGGCUUAGGCUGUUAGGACGUUAGAAAAAUUUAUUAGACUGUUAGUUUGUUAUAACAGAAUGGCUAGCUAUAUAGAGAUCGUGGGUUGUUCACCCAUACGAAUAAUGACUAUAGUAUAGUUGGAAGAUAACUAUAGCAGAGCUAGAAAAUUGCUGUAUCAUAACUAUAAUCAAACCGUAAUAUAGCUGGAAGAUAACUAACUUGAAGUUUUACUGGUUAAGUAAAAUCAGCUAAGUACGAUGAGAUCGGCCAAAUCCG